UACAGAGGAGCCAAGCGUUGUCCGGAUUGACUGGGCGUAAAGCGCACGCAGGCGGUCUGGCGCGUGGGGUGUGAAAUCUGGCCGCUUAACGGCCAGGCGCCAUCCCAUACGGCCGGACUGGAGCCAUGCAGAGGUCGGUGGAAUUGCCGGUGUAGCGGUGAAAUGCGUAGAUAUCGGGAGGAACACCUGAGGCGAAGGCGGGCUACUGGGCCGAUACUGACGCUGAUGCGCGAAAGCCAGGGGAGCGAACGGG
rnacentral:rRNA from 1 species